GACGAACGCUGGCGGCGUGCUUAACACAUGCAAGUCGAACGGAAAGGCCCUGCUUUUGUGCGGUGCUCGAGUGGCGAACGGGUGAGUAACACGUGAGUAACCUGCCCUUGACUUUGGGAUAACUUCAGGAAACUGGGGCUAAUACCGGAUAGGAUCUCCUGCUGCAUGGUGGGCGUUGGAAAGUUUCGGCGGUUGGGGAUGGACUCGCGGCUUAUCAGCUUGUUGGUGGGGUAGGGGCUUACCAAAGCUUUGCCGGGUAGCCUGCCUGAGAGGGUGGCCGGCGACAUUAGGACUGAGAUACGGACCAGACUACUAUGGUAGGCAGCGGUGGGGAGUAUUGCACAAUGGGCGGAAGCAUGAUGAAGCAACGCCGCGGGCGGGAAGACGGCCUGGUGGUAGUAAACCGCAUUAGUCUGUGACGAAGCGUGAGUGACGGUACUGGGUGAAGAAGCACCGGCUAACUACGUG
rnacentral:rRNA from 1 species